rnacentral:rRNA from 1 species
AGGGAAUAUUAGUAAUGGGCGAAAGCCUGAACUAGCAACGCCGCGUGUGCGAAGAAGGCCUUCGGGUUGUAAAGCACUUUUUGAGAGGAUGAGGAAGGACGGUACUCUCAGAAUAAGUCUCGGCUAACUACGUGCCAGCAGCCGCGGUAACACGUAGGAGGCGAACGUUAUCCGGAUUUACUGGGCGUAAAGCGCGUGUAGGUGGUUUGGUAAGUAGGGCGUGAAAGCUCCUGGCUCAACUGGAGAGGCCGUUCUAAACUGCCGAACUAGAGGAUGGUAGAGGGAGGUGGAAUUCCGGGUGUAGCGGUGGAAUGCGCAGAUAUCCGGGGGAACACCAGUGGCGAAAGCGGCCUCCUGGACCAUUCCUGACACUCAGACGCGAAAGCUAGGGUAGCAAACGG